UGCGCCGGGUGGGAGGGAGGGAGGGAGCCGACGGCCUGCGGAAAGGAGCCCCUGAGCACCUGCUGAGGGCUCUCGGGCUCCCCUCGGGUCGCCUCUCUUCCGUCCCCGGUGCCCGACCGCGGAGAGGCUCAUCCCGGGAUAAUAGAAACGAUUAAUUUGGCGGGGCGGCCACGAAACAUCCAAGCCGGAUGAAACCGGGAGGCCCUCACGCUGUCGUCUAUGGAAGGAGCCUUGGGGGAAGAGGUUGUCUUGGCUUGCAAUUAGGAGGUGGAGCUUUCCCCACUGCCCCUCCCUUCCAGGAGUUUCACCUUCCCCAACCUCAAGGCAGUUCUCAAUGGCCCUUCUGCGGGGCCCUUCCUCCCUCAAAAGAGCUGAUUCGCUUCAUAAAGGCCUUCUUGUCGACUUGGGGCGGCAGGACUCCUGUGCUGGGGUGCAGGUGAGGAGAGGGCCCUUUCCUGAACACCGGAAGUGCCUCCUUGGUAGAGGAAGAUGACUCCCUGUUUCCCCAAGUCCCUCAUAGCCAGUGGAUGAUGAUGGGAUAAUUAGAUGUGAGGGCUCGUUGCAGAUGAUGCUUCUGUUGCCUAGCAACUAAUGGUUUCCAUAGACACAGUGAACCACAGCCUGCUAAGCUGCAAGUGAACAGUGCAGGAAGUCGGGGAGAGAGGAACCCCCCAUCAUCCACUUCCAGGCGGAGGAGAGGGCUGCAAGGAAGGAAGCCACUCCUGGCCUUACUCCUGCUGCUGCUCUGCCCUUUUUGGCAAGAAGGGGCUUCACCUCACUUGGCCUGUCGGCUGAGGGCAAAGAGCCAGUCGGAUGGCCUGCCCUUGCCAGCCUCCAGCGGUGGGAAUGUGAGGAUCCAGCACCUCAACUUUGCUUUGUGGAGAUAGGGCACCAGGUGUGGCUCUACCUUGGGGGGGGGGGGCUGACCUGAAGCUUUCUCCAUCAGUCUAAGCAAUGGGGGGGGGGGAGAAGUUUCUUCCCCAGACAUGCAAAACACAUUUCACUCCUAAUGAUAAACCUUAAACCAAAAAUCCAAGUCAAAUGGGGCAUCACAGCUUCAUGUUUUGAAACUGAGCAGGUGAAGCGAAGAGCUCCUUACCUGCCUGUCCGGGCUGGCCAGAUUCAGCUUCCGAUGCUUGGGCUGAAGGGGGUUUUAGGUCUCUAAUUGGGCACUGAGGUUCAUGGAGUAUUAAUUUUUCAAAAAUCCAGAAUCGGCUUGUAAGUUAUUCCUUAAGAGUUGUUUUGUAGAAGUGUUGGUCAAAUUGCAGCUGACAAACUUUACUUAUUUUAUACAAGGACUUCUCUAUACUGUUUCUGUCAGACAGCCAGCCAGAGUCUUGUGAUUGAGGAAGUAUAAAGAUACUAUAACCCAAUGAAAAAGAAGCAAAGCAUCAGCAUAAUGGAUUUAUAGAGGCUCUCCUACCUUUCUUUUCUCUUCCUGGGGAAGAACCUCCUGAGAAGGUCUCUUCCGAAAAGAAGCAGCUCCUGCUCUUUUCUUGCUUUCCUCAUAUGCAAAUCAAUGCAGAUUUACUCACCAGCCCUAAGCACAAACUAAGGCAAGGAGAGAGGCAGGCUGCAGAGGUGCCACCACUGCUGGGAUCACUGGCAGAAUGUCUGCCAGCUGGAGGGAGGGAGGAAAUCCCAUGGAUUGCACAAGAAAAGGGUGGCCCUCAGUGCCCAGGGAGCCUGCCAGGUAAUCUCUGCCCACUACCAGGCAGAGGGGGUGGGGGGGCAUGACCCCCAGCCUUCCUUUCUCCAAGUGCAUGUUUCCCGCAUCCCCUUGCUAAGCCCGGAGCCAUCAAAGCCCCUACAGCCCUUCUGACCCCGAAGUCCCCCUUAUGAUGAUGUGUACAUAUACUUUAGAAAAGCAAUAGAAGACCAACAUAAUCAUGAAUUAAUAGUUUCCUUUCAUACGCUUUAAAUUUUUAUUACCAAUAAUGUUUUAAGCUGCAGAGAGCAUCUUGGACCCUUUACACACGGCAGGAGAGAAAGUUGAACACCUUUCAUAUGCACUGUCUCAGAUGUAUUUUUGGCAUCACCUGGCAGGACAAAGUUCCAAAUAGUGCAGUCUUGGAACGUGCUGGAAUUUCUAAUAUGUAUACACUACUGAAACAGCGACGUCUACGCUGGCUUGGGCAUGUCAUGAGAAUGGCUGAUGGUUGGAUUCCGAAAGAUCUCCUGUAGGGAGAAUAAGUGCAAGAAAAGCACCUCAGAGGGAGACCACAGCUGCGAUAUAAGGAUAUCUGCAAGAGGGACCUAAAGGCCCUGGGAAUGGACAUCAACAACUGGGAAACCUUGACCUCCGAUCGUUCAGCUUGGAGGCUAAAGACGCAGCAUGGCCUCCUCCAAUUCGAAGAGACAUUUGUUCGGCAGGCUGAGGCAAAGAGGCAGUCCCGGAACCAGCGAAAUCUGGGGGCUGGGCAGGGGACAGAAUGUAUCUGUCCUUGGUGUGGAAGGGAUUGCCACUCUCGAAUUGGCAUUUUUAGCCACACUAGAUGCUGUUUUAGGAUCUCUUUCCAGAGAAAGAAGCCAAUGAAUGAGCAUCUCAUUAUUUUUGACACUGUCUGCAUUUGGACUCCAUUCGACUGAUUUUCAGUAAGAAAAGCUGAGGAAGGGGGCAAGGUUCAGAAUACACAGUUGUCAUAUGAGAUGUUUUACUACUCGUGUUGUUUUUACUUCCUCUGAAUCUUUCAUUUUCAGUGACUUCAGAAAACCGAAGAAUUACCUCUAUUGAGAGAAGCUUUCUUACUUCUUUACAUAUUCAUUUUGGUGUAUUUCAGCUGAUCCAAAUACAGAACUGCUCCUGCAUCUUAGCCACUUUAUGUAUCAUUUAAAAUGACAACAUAGUAAACAUAAUCCACUUUUCAA